rnacentral:misc_RNA from 1 species
AAGUCGUAACAAGGUUUCCGUAGGUGAACCUGCGGAAGGAUCAUUAUAGUAUAUCUAUAUCUAGGAUGGGGGUGCUCUCGGGCCCCCCACCGCAACCUCGAUAAUCUAACAUUAUAAGUUACUUGCUGAGCUGACUAGCCUGUGGAUAAAACUAAAUUCUUUAAUAAACUGCCUGAAUUUAAUGUAAAUGUCUGAAUUAAUAUUAAAUAUUAAAA